CCUACGGGAGGCUGCAGUGGGGAAUAUUGGACAAUGGGGGAAACCCUGAUCCAGCGACGCCGCGUGAGUGAAGAAGGAUUUCGGUACGUAAAGCUCUAUCAGCAGGAAAGAAAAGGACGGUACCUGACUAAGAAGCCCCGGCUAACGACGUGCCAGCAGCCGCGGUAAUACGUAGGGGGCAAGCGUUAUCCGGAUUUACUGGGUGUAAAGGGAGCGUAGACGGCAGCGCAAGUCUGGAGUGAAAUGCCGGGGCCCAACCCCGGAACUGCUCUGGAAACUGUGAAGCUGGAGUGCAGGAGCGGUAAGCGGACUUCCUGUUGUCGCGGUUCUAUGCGUAGAUCUCCGGCGGCACCCCGGCGGCGAUGGCGGCUUACUGGACUGUACCUGACGUUGAGGCUC
rnacentral:rRNA from 1 species